UACGGGGGGGGGCAAGCGUUGUUCGGAAUUACUGGGCGUAAAGGGCUCGUAGGUGGCCAACUAAGUCAGACGUGAAAUCCCUCGGCUUAACCGGGGAACUGCGUCUGAUACUGGAUGGCUUGAGGUUGGGAGAGGGAUGCGGAAUUCCAGGUGUAGCGGUGAAAUGCGUAGAUAUCUGGAGGAACACCGGUGGCGAAGGCGGCAUCCUGGACCAAUUCUGACACUGAGGAGCGAAAGCCAGGGAGCAAACGGG
rnacentral:rRNA from 1 species